rnacentral:rRNA from 1 species
GGUUAAGCGACUAAGCGUACACGGUGGAUGCCCUGGCAGUCAGAGGCGAUGAAGGACGUGCUAAUCUGCGAAAAGCGUCGGUAAGGUGAUAUGAACCGUUAUAACCGGCGAUGUCCGAAUGGGGAAACCCAGUGUGUUUCGACACACUAUCAUUAACUGAAUCCAUAGGUUAAUGAGGCGAACCGGGGGAACUGAAACAUCUAAGUACCCCGAGGAAAAGAAAUCAACCGAGAUUCCCCCAGUAGCGGCGAGCGAACGGGGAGGAGCCCAGAGCCUGAAUCAGUGUGUGUGUUAGUGGAAGCGUCUGGAAAGGCGCGCGAUACAGGGUGACAGCCCCGUACACAAAAAUGCACAUGCUGUGAGCUCGAUGAGUAGGGCGGGACACGUGGUAUCCUGUCUGAAUAUGGGGGGACCAUCCUCCAAGGCUAAAUACUCCUGACUGACCGAUAGUGAACCAGUACCGUGAGGGAAAGGCGAAAAGAACCCCGGCGAGGGGAGUGAAAAAGAACCUGAAACCGUGUACGUACAAGCAGUGGGAGCCCUGAUUUAUCAGGGUGACUGCGUACCUUUUGUAUAAUGGGUCAGCGACUUAUAUUCUGUAGCAAGGUUAACCGAAUAGGGGAGCCGGAGGGAAACCGAGUCUUAACUGGGCGUUAAGUUGCAGGGUAUAGACCCGAAACCCGGUGAUCUAGCCAUGGGCAGGUUGAAGGUUGGGUAACACUAACUGGAGGACCGAACCGACUAAUGUUGAAAAAUUAGCGGAUGACUUGUGGCUGGGGGUGAAAGGCCAAUCAAACCGGGAGAUAGCUGGUUCUCCCCGAAAGCUAUUUAGGUAGCGCCUCGUGAAUUCAUCUCCGGGGGUAGAGCACUGUUUCGGCAAGGGGGUCAUCCCGACUUACCAACCCGAUGCAAACUGCGAAUACCGGAGAAUGUUAUCACGGGAGACACACGGCGGGUGCUAACGUCCGUCGUGAAGAGGGAAACAACCCAGACCGCCAGCUAAGGUCCCAAAGUCAUGGUUAAGUGGGAAACGAUGUGGGAAGGCCCAGACAGCCAGGAUGUUGGCUUAGAAGCAGCCAUCAUUUAAAGAAAGCGUAAUAGCUCACUGGUCGAGUCGGCCUGCGCGGAAGAUGUAACGGGGCUAAACCAUGCACCGAAGCUGCGGCAGCGACACUGUGUGUUGUUGGGUAGGGGAGCGUUCUGUAAGCCUGUGAAGGUGUGCUGUGAGGCAUGCUGGAGGUAUCAGAAGUGCGAAUGCUGACAUAAGUAACGAUAAAGCGGGUGAAAAGCCCGCUCGCCGGAAGACCAAGGGUUCCUGUCCAACGUUAAUCGGGGCAGGGUGAGUCGACCCCUAAGGCGAGGCCGAAAGGCGUAGUCGAUGGGAAACAGGUUAAUAUUCCUGUACUUGGUGUUACUGCGAAGGGGGGACGGAGAAGGCUAUGUUGGCCGGGCGACGGUUGUCCCGGUUUAAGCGUGUAGGCUGGUUUUCCAGGCAAAUCCGGAGAAUCAAGGCUGAGGCGUGAUGACGAGGCACUACGGUGCUGAAGCAACAAAUGCCCUGCUUCCAGGAAAAGCCUCUAAGCAUCAGGUAACAUCAAAUCGUACCCCAAACCGACACAGGUGGUCAGGUAGAGAAUACCAAGGCGCUUGAGAGAACUCGGGUGAAGGAACUAGGCAAAAUGGUGCCGUAACUUCGGGAGAAGGCAC